UGGCACAGUGAACACCCAAGUGUGCUUUAUAGUUCCCUUGGCUUUGACUCUGUGCUAAAGCAAUGUCUGUCCUUUUCCUCUGCAUUGAAAGGACUAUUUAUCCUUUUAAAUGUAUUCAGAAAGACAGCACAUUU